GGGCAAGUGGAGAAUAUUAGGUUAAGUAAUUAGGUGAUUUAAAUAAAGAUUAACUAAUAAGAAAUUAAACGGUGGAAUGUAGUGAUUAUUAGUUAUUGGUUAAUAUUUAAAUAAAAGGCCGAAGUUAUUAACGUUAAGGCUAAAACCAGGAUUAGGUACCCUGUUAUUCUUAGAUUUAAUUAUCAUUACUUGAGUAGUAAACAGUUAUAAUCUCGAAACUCAAAGAAUUUGGCGGUAUCUAAGUCUCGUUAGAGGAAUUUGCGUUAUAAACGAUAAUCCCCGAAAAUCUAACUUUAUCUAGUAUUAAACAGUUUGUAUACCGCCAUUAUUAGGUAGUUUCAAUAGAAAUCUAUCUUAAUGGAAUCUUAUCCAGUAUAUUAGGUCAAGGUGCAGCUAAUGGUAAUGAAGACGUGAGUUACAAUAUUUUAAAAAUAUUAUGGAUAUGAAAAAGAAACAAAGAUCAUUGAAAGUGGAUUUAAUUGUAAUAGGAGUAUAUUAUACUUCGGUGAUAAAAGCUCUUAGAUAUGUACACAUCGCCCGUCGUUCUCGCUUU
rnacentral:rRNA from 1 species